GACGAACGCUGGCGGCGUGCCUAAUACAUGCAAGUAGGACGCAGUUGCGAACGGAGGAGUAACUCGUAAGUAACUACCUAUUAGAGGGGGAUAACUAUUGGAAACGAUAGCUAAUACCGCAUACUAGUAGGUGGACCUGCGUGGUAUUAGCUAGUAGGUAGGGUAAUGGCCUACCUAGGCAACGCUACAUAGCGGAGCUGAGAGGGUUAUGGGGCACACCGGGAAUGAGACGCGGGCCAGACGGCUACGGGAGGUACCAGUAGGGAAUCUUCGGGAAAGGGGGGAACUCGGAACGAGCUAAGGCGGGGGAGUGAAGAAGGUUUUCGGAUCGUAAAGGUCUGUUGUUAAGGAAGCGGUACUUAACCAGAAAGGGACGGCUAACUACGUGCCAGCAGCCGCGGUAAUUC
rnacentral:rRNA from 1 species